GGAUCAUAGAGUGUGCUUUGCAGAGUGGCACAUCCAUGGACAGCAGCUCCUGUGGCCACAGCUUUCUAUUGUAUCCAGGCCUGGUGGCUGGAGAAAAGAGAAGGAAAGGUAGGACAUAUCUUGAACCUGUUCAGAUACUAAGAUCAUCCCCCUGCCUUCUGAAGUUAGGUAAAAGAUCUGCAGUACAGAAAACCAGAUCGUUACACCUGCCUGAGUUUGGGUUGAUUAAUCUAUUCCUGCUGCAACUAACUAUUCAGAUGUACUCACCUACAGGAGCCAAUGCAAGUGUGUCUGUGGGUAUCCUCUCUCUGUUACAGGACAAACUCCCCUCUCACUUCAAGAAAUACAGUAUGCAUGUUUUCCCCCCUACACUGCAUUAGCAGGUUCUCCCCUGAUCAACUGGAAUGUGCAUCUAAAUGUAAUGAAGGCCAGCUACAAAUGCUACCUGCAAGCAUCAGACUUCUUCUUCUUUUCUUUUAAGGAAAGAAAAACCCUCUGACUUCAGUCUAAAACGCCCUGACGUCACAAUAGCUGGAGCGAAUGUGCGGAGUGAAGAGAACUGGGGGAGGCACCUCGGCCAAUGCGGUCCCACCCCUCUGCCCUCCCCUGAAGGAUCCUAACUUGCUGGGAGUAGACCCUGUGCAGAAGGGGAGGGAGUAGAAGAGGCUGCCUGAAUGUUAAACUCUCCUCCUCUUAGAAGCAGAGCAUAAGCUGUCUUCCGCCCUCAGUGAGCCAACAUAUGUGGAUUCAACCAGAUUCUCUUUUCCACCGGCUCCACAUUUCUACCGUCAUCCCUUCAAUGCGAUGGCUGUACUUGUUUACAAUCUUUUUACAUUAAAACGUAUUGAAAGUGGGCAGAUGCCAGCAUCCAACAGCAUCAUAAACAAAUCAAGGAAAAAACAAUGAAGGCGUGAAUCUGGAAAACGCAACCACAAGUAUCGGAGGUGCUAGUCGCCACUUAGGUGUCUGUGUAUCCAUUUUAUUUAAUAUAAAAGGAAAUUUUUGCAUAAACUUUGUGGGUGGGGGCUAGUGCAGGGGAAAGAAUAUUAUGAGUCAGUAUCUGUAUAUCUCCAUCCAUCCUAUGCCUGCCUGCCUUCUCAGAAGUCUGUUCCUUUGAGUUCAGUAAGUUUCAUGGGGUUGUUAAAUGGUGUUACAGCUCAACAGCUGCAGAAUUUAUUUAUUUAUGCAGAUUCUGAUAAUCUAUUCACUGUUUGUAUAUUAUGAUUUGGAAUUGAAAAGACAUUUAGAAAUGCCCAAGUAUAUUGCAUAGUCCUGUAUAUAUUGAAGUGGCAAUCCUAUGCAUAUUUUCUAAGGAGUAACAUCAAUAGAACUUAUUUCUAGGAAUCAUAUAUACAUUUAGCUUAAUUAUAACCUGUAGAGAUUGGUCCUAUUUAGAUAAUGAGAGUUUUUCUCAUUCUCUUCUUUCGAUAUGGUUUUGUGUUGAACAGUAGUUUUUAUGUACAGUAGAUGAAUAAAGUCACGUGGCUGGAAGUUAUAACUGAUUUGCUCAAAUGUA